UAAGGAAUAUUGGUCAAUGGAGGCAACUCUGAACCCAGCCAUGCCGCGUGCAGGAAGACAGCCCUCUGGGUUCGUAAACGUGCUUUUAUUCGGGAAUAAACCCUACUUAACGUGUAAGUAGCUGAAUGUACCGAAGGAAUAAGGAUCGGCUAACUCCGUGCCAGCAGCCGCGGUAAUACGGAGGAUCCAAGCGUUAUCCGGAUUUAUUGGGUUUAAAGGGUGCGUAGGCGGCUUAUUAAGUCAGGGGUGAAAGACGGUGGCUCAACCAUCGCAGUGCCCUUGAUACUGAUGAGCUUGAAUACACUAGAGGUAGGCGGAAUGUGACAAGUAGCGGUGAAAUGCAUAGAUAUGUCACAGAACACCGAUUGCGAAGGCAGCUUACUAUGGUGUCAUUGACGCU
rnacentral:rRNA from 1 species